rnacentral:tRNA from 1 species
UUCUAGAGUACAACGAAUAUUCUCUCACAAGAUAUUCGUCAAAGGAAAAUUUAGGUUAUCGCUAUAGAUAAUCUACUCAAUCGACCUUGUUUAGUUUUGAAAGAUUGACGCAAACCUAUAGGGGCCUAUAGCUCAGCUGGUUAGAGUGCACCCCUGAUAAGGGUGAGGUCACAAGUUCAAGUCUUGUUAGGCCCACCAGAGAAUUUAAUUGGGGAAUUAGCUCAGCUGGGAGAGCGCCUGCUUUGCACGCAGGAGGUCAGCGGUUCGAUCCCGCUAUUCUCCACCAUGAUUAGUUUAACAUAAAGCAUACAAAGUUUAAUUAGAGAACUUUUUACCUAAGCUUUCUAAUUAGACUUUAAGUCUAAACGUUAUUUAGUUUAUUAUUGUUAAAAGUCACAAUCAAGUUUUAAUAAAUAAAACAAUUUUACAGGACUUGUUAAAGAUUUAAAGAUCUUGCUUAUUUGCUUAAUGCAGAAGUUUGACGUCACAAGAUAUCAUAGGAUUUAAAACUUACCUAGAUAUUAGUCAAUGCUUUCCGUCUUAAAAGUAAGAGAUUUAAAUUUCGUAAUAGAUCUUAAAUUUGAGUCUUCGUUAUGAAAUCUUAAAUUUAAUAGUUACCUUUAACAAGGAAGUGAUGCGAAUUAGAAUAUAUUAUAUACUAAUAAAAGGUA